AUUGAGCGCUGGCGGCAGGCCUAACACAUGCAAGUCGAGCGGAUGAAGGGAGCUUGCUCCUGGAUUCAGCGGCGGACGGGUGAGUAAUGCCUAGGAAUCUGCCUGGUAGUGGGGGAUAACGUCCGGAAACGGGCGCUAAUACCGCAUACGUCCUGAGGGAGAAAGUGGGGGAUCUUCGGACCUCACGCUAUCAGAUGAGCCUAGGUCGGAUUAGCUAGUUGGUGGGGUAAAGGCCUACCGAGGCGACGAUCCGUAACUGGUCUGAGAGGAUGAUCAGUCACACUGGAACUGAGACACGGUCCAGACUCCUACGGGAGGCAGCAGUGGGGAAUAUUGGACAAUGGGCGAAAGCCUGAUCCAGCCAUGCCGCGUGUGUGAAGAAGGUCUUCGGAUUGUAAAGCACUUUAAGUUGGGAGGAAGGGCAGUAAGUUAAUACCUUGCUGUUUUGACGUUACCAACAGAAUAAGCACCGGCUAACUUCGUG
rnacentral:rRNA from 1 species